rnacentral:rRNA from 1 species
UACGGAGGGUGCAAGCGUUAAUCGGAAUUACUGGGCGUAAAGCGUGCGCAGGCGGUUUGUUAAGUCUGCUGUGAAAUCCCCGAGCUCAACUUGGGAAUUGCAGUGGAUACUGGCAGGCUGGAGUAUGGCAGAGGAAGGUGGAAUUCCCGGUGUAGCAGUGAAAUGCGUAGAGAUCGGGAGGAACACCAGUGGCGAAGGCGGCCUUCUGGACCAAUACUGACGCUCAUGCACGAAAGCGUGGGGAGCAAACAGG